GUGGGAGCACUGAGGGAUCAGGUGUGACUGUGUGGCAAUGGCAAAUGGUUUACAUGACUCACAGUUCAGGUAGGAGGGCCCCUUAGCAGAAUUUUUGUUUAGGGCCCCAGGGAGGUCAGGACCGGCUCUGCCUGUUGCCCUCUGCCAACCUGGCUGAUGGCACCACGGACCUCAUCCUAGCUUCCCGCCUCGACUUCCUCCGACAACAAGGAUGACCGUUUUGACAUGUCCUUCAUGGAGGUGCACCGUGUGCGGGAGAUCCGGUUUGUUCCGAAGCACAGCAAUGUGAUCUCAGAGGUGGACCAGUGGGAAAAAGAUCUGUAACCAGGUCUGUACGGCCCAUCCCAGCUACGACACAGGCCAUAGCAACUGGAACUGUGAUGAGGAGAUCAUGCCUCAUGCGGCUAUACAUGUCAGUAAUUGUUCUUGGAAUGAGUCAGCAAAUGAGCGGCUGAGAUAAUUGAUGGUGAUAACCCCGAUCUCCCCCUCAAAAAUAAAGAAAAAAAGAAGACGGAGAGAAGUUGGCUGCUUUCUUUCACUGCUAGACACAAUAUUCGUAGGUGACUUCAAUAGUAUAUAUUUUAAAGUAAAUAUGGUUACGUGUUUGGUUGCGUCUGUCUGGAUUGCCUGAUGGGCAGUGCAUGCACAGUUGGGCCUAUUCAAAUAUUACUUGAAUCACCAGUGUGACUGACUGGAAAAUAAAAUCUGUAUGGUCCUUGCAGCA